CAGCUCAGCAACAGAGCAUCUGCCUUGAAAGCAGAAGGUCCUGGGUUCAAUCCCAGGCAUCUCAGG